UUUUUUUUUUUUGAGACGGAGUCUCACUCUGUCGCUGAGGCUGGAGUGCAGUGGCACAAUCUUGGUUCACUGCAGCCUCCGUUUCAUGGGUUCAGGCAAUUCUCCUGAACAAGCAUCCGCCACCAUGCUUGGCUAAUUUUUUUGUAUUUUUAGUAGAGAUAAGAUGUUGGCCAGGCUGGUCUCAAACUCCUGACCUCAAAUGAUCCACCCGCCUUGGCUUCCCAAAGUGUUGGGAUUACAGACGUGAGCCACCACGCCCGGUCAACACUGGGUCUUGCCCAAGACCUUUGCCUUCAGGGCAGUGAGUUCCACCAGGUCCCAGGUGUGUCCAGAGAUGUUGUCUGGGAGCCAGGGAUUAUGAUAAAAAAUUUUAGCAGUUUACCUGAUGUUCUAUUCUACACAGCUAAGCUAGCCCACCUCUAAGCCCAGCCUAGCACUAGGAAUUGCGUAGGAAUUGUAGUCCUUGUGUCCUAGACCACCUCUCAAGUUUACUUGGGACCCCAGAGAAACUCAAGUUCCAACCAUUGGGAUGAGCCAGCUCCCCUCUGGCUAGGGCUGGUCCAAAUGUUUUUUGCAUGUGUGGGUGCUGGGCUCAUGGCUUUAUCUGCUGUGACAGGGCAGCACUGAGUUCAAUGUAAAGUACCCCAAUGUAAAGUACCCCAGUCACUGUGCUUUCUCUCCCCAAAGUGCAGAGAUUCUCUCUAUGCCACAUGGCUGCUGCCAGGGGAUGGGGGAGGGGUGGCAUUGGUGAUUCAAGACUGCCCUCCUCAAUGCCUUUUUAGUGAUAUGAAGUUAAAACCAUGUACUAUGAUCGCUCAUCUGAUUUUUUGGUUCUUGUUAUGGUGCUUUUCUGUGCGUCCAUAAUUAUUAAAAUGUGGUGUUCCAGUAGCAGGGACAAACAGUGUAGCCUUCUAUUCUGCCAUCUUGCUCUGCCUCUUCACUAGUGAGUUUUGUACGUUCAUAUGAUUUCUUGCUUAUCAACAUUCUUUUCUUUCAGAAU
rnacentral:lncRNA from 1 species